rnacentral:SRP_RNA from 1 species
CGGGCAGUCCCGUACGGCCAGCUCCCUCGGAAUCCCCUAGGAUGGGAACAUAGCAAGGGUACUUGGUUGUAGCGGCGCGAUACGGUAAGCUGCCCAC